UACAGAGGAGCCAAGCGUUGUCCGGAUUGACUGGGCGUAAAGCGCACGCAGGCGGUCGCGCGCGUGGGGUGUGAAAUCUCGGAGCUUAACUCCGAAACUGCAUUCGAUACUGCCGUGCUUGAGGACUGGAGAGGAGACUGGAAUUUACGGUGUAGCGGUGAAAUGCGUAGAUAUCGUAAGGAAGACCAGUGGCGAAGGCGGGUCUCUGGACAGUUCCUGACGCUGAGGCACGAAGGUCAGGGGAGCAAACGGG
rnacentral:rRNA from 1 species